rnacentral:rRNA from 1 species
AGAGUUUGAUCCUGGCUCAGAUUGAACUUUGGCGGCAGGCCUAACACAUGCAAGUCGAACGGUAACAGGAAGAAGCUUGCUUCUUUGCUGACGAGUGGCGGACGGGUGAGUAAUGUCUGGGAAACUGCCUGAUGGAGGGGGAUAACUACUGGAAACGGUAGCUAAUACCGCAUAACGUCGCAAGACCAAAGAGGGGGACCUUCGGGCCUCUUGCCAUCGGAUGUGCCCAGAUGGGAUUAGCUAGUAGGUGGGGUAACGGCUCACCUAGGCGACGAUCCCUAGCUGGUCUGAGAGGAUGACCAGCCACACUGGAACUGAGACACGGUCCAGACUCCUACGGGAGGCAGCAGUGGGGAAUAUUGCACAAUGGGCGCAAGCCUGAUGCAGCCAUGCCGCGUGUAUGAAGAAGGCCUUCGGGUUGUAAAGUACUUUCAGCGGGGAGGAAGGGAGUAAAGUUAAUACCUUUGCUCAUUGACGUUACCCGCAGAAGAAGCACCGGCUAACUCCGUGCCAGCAGCCGCGGUAAUACGGAGGGUGCAAGCGUUAAUCGGAAUUACUGGGCGUAAAGCGCACGCAGGCGGUUUGUUAAGUCAGAUGUGAAAUCCCCGGGCUCAACCUGGGAACUGCAUCUGAUACUGGCAAGCUUGAGUCUCGUAGAGGGGGGUAGAAUUCCAGGUGUAGCGGUGAAAUGCGUAGAGAUCUGGAGGAAUACCGGUGGCGAAGGCGGCCCCCUGGACGAAGACUGACGCUCAGGUGCGAAAGCGUGGGGAGCAAACAGAAUUAGAUACCCUGGUAGUCCACGCCGUAAACG